rnacentral:rRNA from 1 species
UGGGGAAUAUUGGACAAUGGGGGAAACCCUGAUCCAGCAAUGCCGCGUGUGUGAAGAAGGCCUGCGGGUUGUAAAGCACUUUCGGAGGGGACAAAAAGCGUCGGGCUAACACCCAGGCGUCUUGAUUUAACCCUCAUAAGAAGCACCGGCUAACUCUGUGCCAGCAGCCGCGGUAAUACAGAGGGUGCAAGCGUUAAUCGGAAUUACUGGGCGUAAAGCGCACGCAGGCGGCUGCAUAAGCCGGUCGUGAAAUCCCCGGGCUUAACCUGGGAAUUGCGAUCGGGACUGUGCGGCUAGAGUGUUGGAGAGGGCAGCGGAAUUCCAGGUGUAGCGGUGAAAUGCGUAGAUAUCUGGAGGAACAUCAGUGGCGAAGGCGGCUGCCUGGCCAAACACUGACGCUCAGGUGCGAAAGCGUGGGGAGCAAA